rnacentral:misc_RNA from 1 species
GCUCGAUACAAGCUAUUUCUAAAAGCUCUUACUGAAUUGCAAUGACAGCCCAUAGAAUGUCGUCAUUGUAAAGCUUUACAGGCAAUUUGUUAAAGUGCCUCUCUUAGUAACAAGCAGCCAAGUUGAUGGACUGAGAUGCCUCUUUCAUUACUGGGAAGAUAGCAGUCCAUUUUCUACUAGACAAUUGGAUCUGUAAAUAUUUCUUUCCCCAG